GCUGAAUGAAUGAACGAAAAUUUAAAAUAAAAAAGUUAGAACUAAAAUAAACAUACAAUAAAAAUAAGUUAAUAGUAAUACUAGCAAGGCAACUACAUGUAUUAAACAAUAUUGAAUAAGUUACUUUUAUGAUUCAAUAACUUAACAUUAAAAAAUGUACAAGUUAAAGAAAAAAAAAAUGAAAGAAACACAGUCUACUAGAUCAGAUAGCUCUUGGAGGUUUUUCUAAUACUGCAGAAAGAUAGACCUCAUCCUUUGAUUUGGGAGAAAUAGCCCACUUGUGUUUCUUGUAUCUGAAUUGAAGAAACAUGUACAUAUAAUCAUCCAGAUCCUUCCUAUUACAAAAGAAUCUGUCAAUCCAUAACAAUCCUCCAGGCCUUAAUAUCCGAUCCCAGUCGAAGAGGAUGAAAUCCAUCAACAUCAAGUCAAUCCAGCCAUCCAUAAACCCAUUGGUAUGAAUCAAGUCCAUGGUGUUGUCGAAGAAUGGAAGCCGCUGAUUCAAUGUCACAUACAAAGGAAUUAGACCUCUAAGGGCAAUCAUCUCACUGAAUGGAGCCCCAAGGUUUAGUGCAGUGGAGAUAAUAGUAACAUUACUUUCUCUCAUCCUUGCAGCAAAAGUCCCUGUUCCCACACCGAAAUCCAGACCGAUCCGAAUCUCUCCAGGCUUGAUUGCUAGAACAUCUGUGAUUAAAAAAUCCAUAGGAAGUGAGCUAUUAGUAACCCACUUCAGCCUUUCCUUCUCCAUCUCAAAACAACCUGUGCACUUUGAAUAACCCCUCUUGUGAUUCUUGCUAGAUAAGCACUGAAAAUUCCUGCACUGAUAAUUGCUCCACCUCACAUUUCUAUAAUCUGGCAAUUUCCACAAGGACUCGUUAAUGGGGUAUGGCCUCUGGUACACCUUGGAGGCCCUAGUUAGGCAUCGUCUCCGGGGCAAGGGAUCACAUCCACUAACCAGAAGCUUCUGAGCUAGGUUCCAGUCGUCUUCACAAUAAGAUCCUACAUCAUAAUCCAUGUAUUCUUCCAAUUCUUUCUUCGUUAAAACACAAGCAUGCCCUAUUGUGUUAUAUAUCCUCUCCGUUCCAUAUAUAUUAAUCUUCCCAAUUCUGUUUUCUUUUGGGGUUAUGUACUUGCGAAUCUCCUCUACAAUAAAAGUGUUGAUCAAAGGCUCCUCCUUGAUUGUUGAAUUUGCAAUCCUAGGCAGCCGAAUCUGCCUAAGCGAAAGG
rnacentral:misc_RNA from 1 species